UGUGGUAAGAGGCUGAAGGUGUGUGUGUGUGUGUGUGUGUGAGAAGUAAGAGGCUGAAGGUGGUGUGUGUGUGUGUGUGUGUGUUAAGAGGCUGAAGGUGG